GGACUACUCGGGUAUCUAAUCCUGUUUGCUCCCCUAGCUUUCGUUCCUCAGCGUCAGUUAUGGUCCAGCGCGCCGCUUUCGCCACGGGUGUUCCUGCAGAUAUCUACGCAUUUCACCGCUACACCUGCAAUUCCACGCGCCUCUCCCAUACUCAAGCACAGCAGUUUUGGAAGCAGCCUCUGAGUUAAGCCCAGAGAUUUCACUCCCAACUUGCCACACCGCCUACGAACCCUUUACACCCAGUAAUUCCGAACAACGCUGGCCCCCUACGUCUUACCGCGGCUGCUGGCAC
rnacentral:rRNA from 1 species